CCAUUCAAAAAAUAAAGUGAAAUAGAAAGAAUUUUUAUUUAGCACUUGAUGUUUUAUCAAAAUAAAUAAAUAAAUGUUUAUACAACUAUAGUAAAUUAGUGUAGACAUUAGGGUUUAGAGUUAAAGGGUGGGUUUUAGGGUUUAAGGUUUAGAGUUUAGGGUUUAGGGUUUAGAGUUUAUGUUUUAAGGUUUAGAAUUGGAAAUUUGGAUUUUGGGGAUAAGAUUUCAAAUUUUGAAAAAUAAAAAAAUUUUAAAUUUUUCAGAAGAUAAAAUGCUAUUUUGGUCAUUUUAGUUUUUGAGUGCUAUUUUUGUGAUAUAAACUUAGAAAUGUGUUAUUUUGGAGAUUUGCCCUAUUUUUUAAUCUACCAUACAAAAUUAUAUUAGACUAUUUAUGAAACACUUAACUAAACAUCCUAAAUUUGUUCAAUAUUUUCCUAACAAAAAUAAUAUACAUAUCUAUAAUAAUAAAAUUGAAGAGAAACUAUCCACAAUGCGUCACAUCAUCCUUUUUAUCUCCAUUUUGCGACACAUAUCGACCAUAGAGGGAGUUUCUUCUUUUUUCUUUUUCUUCCAAUUCGUGGUUUUUUUCCCUUCUUUUUUCUUUGGUGUUUCUGGCUCGCGGAUUAACUGGAUUUUCUGAUUAUUUAUUGGGCAUUUCUAUUUAUUUCUUGGUCCAUACUUUGAUAUAUGCGGCCCGUUUGUGUUUAGAGUUAGGUGUGUCAUCUUCAGCUGAUCGACGCCUUCACCUUCCAUCGUUCCCGAUUGCGUUUCCUGUAACGUCUUCUCUUUCACUUAAAAUCAACCUUUAAUUCAAUCAUUAAGCUUCACCCCACCUUUUUUUCCACUCCGUCUCAUUUAUUCUCAUUAACAAGCUGCAUUUGUAACAUAUCCAAGGUCGAGCUAUAAAUAAGUGUUUUGGAGCGAUAAAGAUCUGCACCAUUGAGAUAUCUUACAGCUUAAGCAAUCCGAUAGACGCCUUCAGAUAUGUCGUCUUCCUACGUUCUUCUUGCCAACUAAAGAGCAGACCGUUGCUCAAAUAUGGCGGAGGUGCAUCUUCUAAGGUUUUGGGAACAUAAUUUUUUAUUUUUCUUGCAUUAAUCAAUGGUUUCGUACAAACAUAAGUUGACCAUAUGUAGAGAAAGUAAUAUUUGAUUUCUGAUUACACAAAAUUAAUAUGAGGUUUAUUAUGUUUAAAUUUCAGUUUAUUUUUUGUAUUGCUUUUUACAAUUGUUUAAAUUUUAAUGCAAAAUAAUUUUUUUAAAAUAAUUUAUCUCCAAAAAUAUAUAUUUUUCAUUCCAGCAUUACUUUUCCAUAACAAUAAUAUAGAAAAGCAAAUACAUUUCAAACAUAAAUCAAAGCUAAAUUUCUAAAUUUAAACUUCAAAUACUGAGACUAUAACAUACAAUUCACCAUUUCCUUCCAAUAUAUCUUCACACUACUAAACCUAAUAGAAAUUAUCUUCUCAUAAACCUAAUACACAUUAUUCACAAUUUUGAUCAUGAAUCUCAUAUACAUUACAAAAAUUAAUAAUAUAUAUAAAACAUAAUUGUAAAAUAAAAGUCGCACAAUUAAAACAAAACUUAAUAUCAUCAUGUAUAGCAAAAUGUUGGUUGCUGAUUUCAUGAAAAACUAAGCACCAAUACUAACCUCCAUAGUAAAAAAAAAAAGUACAACAUAAACAAAAUAUUUAUAAAAACAAUAAACAAUUGUUCCGUGCGUAACGCGAAAAAACCACUAGUAUAUAUAAUGAGGGACUUUCAUCUCUUUUUAGAGGGUCCACGUCAGAUUUCUUUUAUUGUCUGUGGGUCCUGCGUGUUUCCUGUUUUAUUUGGAAGAGUAUAUUUUUGUGGGUCCGCGUGUUUCCUGUUUUAUUUGGAAGGGUAUAUUGUAUGUGGGUCUCGCGUGAUUUACGUUUGGUUUGAUUAUAUGAUUUUGGGUUUGGGCUUCUGUGUUCUGAAAUAUAUCGUAUGGGCUGUUGGUUGGGUCUGUGUUAUUGCAUAAUUCAUGGAAUAAUUGAAAGAAAACGAUGCGUUUAGUUCUAGGGCAUCAUCGUUUUCUUCUUCCAUUGUUGAAGUCGCCGAUUUUGUUCCAGUUGUUUUGUAAAGCCACUCAUUCUCAUCUCUUUGCCUUCCUCCACCUUCAAUGAGAUGGAUGAGGCUGUGGGGAUCGCUCUUAAUCACUCUCACUUAAAAUUUCUUCCCUCAGCUUCCAAAGAUUUUCUCAAAGAUGGCUUCCUCCGCUCCCGCCGUUGUUGCCCCGGCAUUGUUUGACGAUCUCCACCUGGAUCGAUCUACUCAGUUCGUUGUGGCUCGCCUCCUGCGUUUUUGGGACUUCAGAAACAUUAAGAAGCAAGGUGAAUUCAUGGGAAUCACCUUGCUUUUCCUUGAUGAGCAGAAUUCUGUGAUCCAUGGGUUUAUACCUGCCGCUCGCUCCGGUCACUACCGCCCAGGUUUACGAAGUGGUUCCAUCGUCAAAGUUUCAGGCUUUGAGGUUGCUAGAUGCACUAACAUGUACAAGAUCACAGACAAUCCUUUCGUGAUCCGGUUCCUGCCACAAACAACCAUUGAUGAAGUCCUGGUCAAUGCUCCCAUUAUCAACCUCCAAAAAUUCAUGCUCAGUAAGUUUGAGCAUCUUCGAGCACUUGCUAACACGAACUUGGAACUCCCAGAUGUUGUAGGAAUGAUUCGUUCCGUCCAAGGUUCCGAUCUUAAGGACGCUACAGUGAUGACUCGAGUUGUUGUCCGCUUCGUCAUCGAACCGUAAGCUAACAAAAACUUAUUUGGAAACGUCAUUAAAACAACUUUUUUGCAGUAAUGUUGUGGUGUAUCUGUCCUUAUGGGAUGAAGCUGUGGCAACCUUUCGGGGACUCAUCAGCUCAGGCGAAAGAACACAGUCUGUUUUGGUGAUCACAACUGUGAAUCCAAAAAUCUUUGGAGGAAAUUUGUACCUCAACUCCACCCCAGCCACAUAAUUUUAUUUCGACGUGAAUCUUCCAGCCAUCACCCAGUUCACAACUAGCUUAGAAGGACCAGUUGGUGAAGCUUUUCCUUGCAUCGAUACCAGGAACAUGUCUCCAUUAGAGAUCUCAACAAAUUCAUCUCUAACUCUGAUGAGCAGACCCAGGAAGCAGAGUUCAUCUGCAAGGCUCGAGUGCUUGAGGUUCUCCAACAGAAUGGGUGGUCUUUUGUUUCAUGCACUGGCUGCAGCAGAAAGUUAGAUCAAUCAGGAAAUUCUCUACGUUGCAACCGUUGUGUUAAUGCCAACGUCACCGGUGUUAUAAAGUACCUUGUUGAAUUGUCUGUUGAUGAUGGGAAUGACAAUGCCACUUUUGUGGUUUUCGACAUAGAGAUGCUUAGUCUCAUAAAGAAAGAUGCCGCAACUCUAAUUGUGGAACAGGUUUGUUUUCAGAAAAUAUAAAAAUUAUACAAAGCAGAUGAAUGGUGGUGGGGGCGAGCAGUGGGAGAGUUUGGUGGAAAAGAAUUUGUGUUCCAGAUACGUGUUACCCCGUUCAAUUUCACCCAAACCACCGCAAUUUCAUUGUUUGUGGAAUAAGUGACCACAUCGAACCUGAGACUUUCAACACCAAAGAAGCUUCAAUUGUUGGUGGAGAGAGUGGUGAAACAUCUGCUUCCGCCGGUGCCUUGGUUGAAGGCGAAGCGUAUGAUCCAAAUCCAACCGAUGGUCAAGUGAAGUAUGGUAACCGCAAACGUCUUCGUGAGUGAAGCUACUACGCUGUGAUCCGUUAACCCAACUCUGCUUCCGUUUUUUUAAUUAUCAGUACCUUUUAUUGCUAUGCAUUGCUUCUUCAAGACAUUUCAAGAUUUUCUCUGUUUCAUGUUUUUUAAAACCGCAUUACUCCAAUCUACUUCAUCCGCUUAUAACUGUUUCUCAUGUUUAAUAGUUGCAAAAGGGUUCACCUAA